rnacentral:rRNA from 1 species
UACAUGGGGUGCAAACGUUGCUCGGAAUUAUUAGGCGUAAAGCGCACGUAGGUGGUCUGUUAUGUCAGAUGUGAAAGCCCUCGGCUUAACUGAGGAAGUGCACCUGAAACUGGCAGGCUUGAGUACGAAAGAGGGUCGCGGAAUUCCCGGUGUAGAGGUGAAAUUCGUAGAUAUCGGGAGGAACACCGGUGGCGAAGGCGGCGACCUGGUUCGAUACUGACACUGAGGUGCGAAAGCGUGGGGAGCAAACAGG